rnacentral:rRNA from 1 species
CCUACGGGAGGCAGCAGUGAGGAAUAUUGGUCAAUGGACGAGAGUCUGAACCAGCCAAGUAGCGUGAAGGAUGACUGCCCUAUGGGUUGUAAACUUCUUUUAUAUGGGAAUAACAUGUUCCACGUGUGGGAUUUUGUAUGUACCAUAUGAAUAAGGAUCGGCUAACUCCGUGCCAGCAGCCGCGGUAAUACGGAGGAUCCGAGCGUUAUCCGGAUUUAUUGGGUGUAAAGGGAGCGUAGGUGGAUUGUUAAGUCAGGUGUGAAAGUUUGCGGCUCAACCGUAAAAUUGCAGUUGAAACUGGCAGUCUUGAGUACAGUAGAGGUGGGCGGAAUUCGUGGUGUAGCGGUGAAAUGCUUAGAUAUCACGAAGAACUCCGAUUGCGAAGGCAGUUCACUGGACUGCAACUGACACUGAGGCUCGAAAGUGUGGGUAUCAAACAGGAUUAGAUACCCCUGUAGUC